UUCGGCCGGGACAAGUACAGUGGCGGACGGGUGCGUAUCGCGUAGAUCACCUGCCCUUAGGCGCGGGACAAUCACGGGSCGCAAACCGUGGCUAAUACCGCACGUCGUCUAGGCCCCGCAUGGGGACCAGAUGSCGCAAAAGCUUGGGGUUACCCAGGCGCCUUGGGAUGGGUCUGCGUUGGAUUAGCUUGUUGGUGAGGCAACGGCUCACCAAGGCGACGAUCCAUAGCUGGUCUGAGAGGACGAUCAGCCACACUGGGACUGAGACACGGCCCAGACUCCUACGGGAGGCAGCAGUGGGGAAUCUUGCACAAUGGGGUCACCCCUGAUGCAGCCAUGCCGCGUGGAGGAAGACACCCCUAUGGGGCGUSCGCAAACUCCUUUUCUGSCGCAAAUGAAGSCGCAAACCCCUGUAGGUUCAGGGCGCGACGGUAGUUCAGGAAUAAGCACCGGCUAACUCCGUGCCAGCAGCCGCGGUAAUACGGAGGGUGCAAGCGUUGUCCGGAAUCACUGGGUGUSCGCAAAGGGUGUGCAGGCGGGGCAACAAGUCGGAUGUGSCGCAAACCCCAUGGCUCAACCAUGGAGGUGCAUUCGSCGCAAACUGUUGCUCUUGAGUCCCGGAGAGGCUGUCGGAAUUCGUGGUGUAGCGGUGSCGCAAAUGCGUAGAUAUCACGAGGAACACCAGAGGCGSCGCAAAGCGGGCAGCUGGACGGGUACUGACGCUCAGGCACGSCGCAAAGCGUGGGGAGCSCGCAAACAGGAUUAGAUACCCUGGUAGUCCACGCCGUSCGCAAACGAUGAACGCUC
rnacentral:rRNA from 1 species